UGCGCCGGAUGUUGAAAAUAGCUCAUGU
rnacentral:piRNA from 1 species